GGAGAGGUGCCGGAGCGGUUGAACGGGGCGGUCUCGAAAAUCGUUGUACUCUUAUGGGGUACCGUGGGUUCGAAUCCCACCCUCUCCGCCA
rnacentral:tRNA from 1 species